CGUGCUACCAUGCAGUCGACGGCAGCACAGGAGUAGCUUGCUCUCUGGGUGGCGAGUGGCGGACGGGUGUAGGAAUACAUCGGAAUCUACUUUUUCGUGGGGGAUAACGUAGGGAAACUUACGCUAAUACCGCAUACGACCUACGGGUGAAAGCAGGGGAUCUUCGGACCUUGCGCGAUUGAAUGAGCCGAUGUCGGAUUAGCUAGUUGGCGGGGUAAAGGCCCACCAAGGCGACGAUCCGUAGCUGGUCUGAGAGGAUGAUCAGCCACACUGGAACUGAGACACGGUCCAGACUCCUACGGGAGGCAGCAGUGGGGAAUAUUGGACAAUGGGCGCAAGCCUGAUCCAGCCAUACCGCGUGGGUGAAGAAGGCCUUCGGGUUGUAAAGCCCUUUUGUUGGGAAAGAAAUCCAGCUGGCUAAUACCCGGUUGGGAUGACGGUACCCAAAGAAUAAGCACCGGCUAACUUCGUGCCAGCAGCCGCGGUAAUACGAAGGGUGCAAGCGUUACUCGGAAUUACUGGGCGUAAAGCGUGCGUAGGUGGUCGUUUAAGUCCGUUGUGAAAGCCCUGGGCUCAACCUGGGAACUGCAGUGGAUACUGGGCGACUAGAGUGUGGUAGAGGGUAGCGGAAUUCCUGGUGUAGCAGUGAAAUGCGUAGAGAUCAGGAGGAACAUCCAUGGCGAAGGCAGCUACCUGGACCAACACUGACACUGGAGGCACGAAAGCGGUGGGGGAGCAAACAGGAUAGAAUACCCUGGUAGUCCACCGCCCUAAACGAUGCGACUGAUGUGGGUGCAUUUGGCACCGCAGUAUCGAGCUACCGCGUAAGUCGCCCGCCUGGGGGAGAUACGGUCCGCAGACUGAAACUUCAAAGGGAAUUG
rnacentral:rRNA from 1 species